UACGUAGGGUGCAAGCGUUGUCCGGAAUUAUUGGGCGUAAAGAGCGUGUAGGCGGCCAGGUAGGUCUGCUGUGAAAACUCGAGGCUUAACCUCGAGCUGUCGGCGGAAACCAUCUGGCUAGAGUCCGGAAGAGGAGAAUGGAAUUCCCGGUGUAGCAGUGAAAUGCGUAGAUAUGUGGAGGAAUACCGAUGGCGAAGGCAGCCUCCUGGGAUGACACUGACGCUCAUGCACGAAAGCGUGGGGAGCAAACAGG
rnacentral:rRNA from 1 species